CAAUAGCGUAUAUUAAAGUUGUUGCAGUUAAAAAGCUCGUAGUUGGAUUUCUGUUUUGGAUGUCCGGUCCGCUCCCUCUGGGAGUGCGUACUUAUGGAUGUUCGAGGCAUUUUUUGUGAGGUCGCUUUUCUGCCAUUAAGUUGGUGGUUUUGCGGGCUUGCAUCGUUUACUGUGAAAAAAUUAGAGUGUUUAAAGCAGGCGUUUGCUCAUUUGAAUACAUUAGCAUGGAAUAAUAAGAUACGGCCUUGGUGGUCUAUUUUGUUGGUUUGCACACCGGGGUAAUGAUUAAUAGGGACAGUUGGGGGUAUUCAUAUUUCAGCGUCAGAGGUGAAAUUCUUGGAUCGCUGAAAGAUGAGCUUAGGCGAAAGCAUUUACCAAGGAUGUUUUCAUUAA
rnacentral:rRNA from 1 species